UGCAUUCACUACUGUAAGUCGCUCUGGAUAAGAGCAUCUGCUAAAUGACGUAAA
rfam:Salmo salar isolate Sally breed double haploid chromosome ssa10, whole genome shotgun sequence.